CGGGGUGUAGCUCAGCGGUAGAGCGCGGAAUUGCAACAAACACGCUCCCCUCCUCGGACCGCACGUUCGGCCCCCCUCGGUGAGCGCACAAGCAUUCAAGGGAUUCUGAGGUCGCAGGUUCGAGUCCUGUCACCCCGA
rnacentral:tRNA from 1 species